UCGAGAAUUUUUCACAAUGGGGGAAACCCUGAUGGAGCGACGCCGCGUGGGGGAUGAAUGGCUUCGGCCCGUAAACCCCUGUCAUUUGCGAGCAAAGCGCAUUAUUUAAAAGAUGAUGUGUUGAUAGUAGCGGAAGAGGAAGGGACGGCUAACUCUGUGCCAGCAGCCGCGGUAAUACAGAGGUCCCGAGCGUUGUUCGGAUUCACUGGGCGUAAAGGGUGCGUAGGUGGUGAGGUGUGUCGGAUGUGAAAUCUCGGAGCUCAACGGCGGAAGUGCAGUGGAAACUACCGUGGUGGAGGGUUGGAGGGGGGACUGGAAUACUGGGUGUAGGAGUGAAAGGCGUAGAUAGCAAGUGGAACAGCAGGGGCGAAGGCG
rnacentral:rRNA from 1 species